rnacentral:rRNA from 1 species
GACGAACGCUGGCGGCGUGCUUAACACAUGCAAGUCGAGCGGUAAGGCCCUUUCGGGGGUACACGAGCGGCGAACGGGUGAGUAACACGUGGGUGACCUGCCCUCAGCUCUGGGAUAAGCCUGGGAAACCGGGUCUAAUACCGGAUAUGACUCCAUGACGCAUGUUGUGGGGUGGAAAGCCUUGUGCGGCUGAGGAUGGGCCCGCGGCCUAUCAGCUUGUUGGUGGGGUGAUGGCCUACCAAGGCGACGACGGGUAGCCGGCCUGAGAGGGCGACCGGCCACACUGGGACUGAGACACGGCCCAGACUCCUACGGGAGCAGCAGUGGGGAAUCUUGCGCAAUGGGCGAAAGCCUGACGCAGCGACGCCGCGUGAGGGAUGACGGCCU